rnacentral:rRNA from 1 species
UAGGGAAUCUUCCACAAUGGACGCAAGUCUGAUGGAGCAACGCCGCGUGAGUGAAGAAGGGUUUCGGCUCGUAAAGCUCUGUUGUUAAAGAAGGACGUGGGUAAGAGUAACUGUUUACCCAGUGACGGUAUUUAACCAGAAAGCCACGGCUAACUACGUGCCAG